UCCCCUUUGUCCUGGGCGCGCGGUUCCAAAUUGGGAGGGACCUUUCCGGGGGUGGGCCCGGGCGGCGCCGGCCGCGCUGGGUGGGCGGGGAGCCCGGAGGACCCCGGGCGCGCACUUGGGCGGCGCUCGGCGGUGCUCGCAACUCCUCGGGGCGGUUAGGGGCGCAGGGCCGCGCCGGGGCCGCCCCUCGCCGCCCGGGCGCUUCGCGGGCUGGUCUUUGUCUCCCGACGCUCGGCCCCUGACAUCCCUCCGGGCGGCGUGCGGUUCGUGUGACUCCGUCCUCCAGCACGGCGGCUGGGACUCCUGCCUCCUAGGAAAUCUGGAAAAGUUGUAAGCAAAACAUCGUUCCUCUAAGAAAAUUCUGGAUACCAGAAGUUCUGGAUAACAGGUAAAGAAUAUUUAAACUUGGGUCAUUCCGAUAAUCACCGAUAAUCUGCAAAAGUAAACUGGGAGAGAGAAGUGUGCUUUGGGUCAGGGAUUACAAUAGGGAAUUUUUUUUUUUUUUUUUUUUUUUAUGAUAGUCACACAGAGAGAGAGAGAGAGAGGCAGAAACAUAGGCAGAGGGAGAAGCAGGCUCCAUGCACCGGGAGCCUGACGUGGGAUUCGAUCCUGGGUCUCCAGGAUUGCGCCCUGGGCCAAAGGCAGGCGCUAAAUUGCUGCGCCACCCAGGGAUCCCUACAUUAGGGAUUUUAUAUAUAUAUAUCACCUCAUUUAAAUGAUUUUUAGCAGGAUUCUGGGCAUAGAUCUAAGAAUCUCAGAUUCUGAGAAUCUGAAUCCUUCAAAAUGCUGUUUUAAAUGGAUUUGCCUAUUGAUUGGAUUUAAUGUCCUCACAGUUUAGUUUGGAAACAUUUUUAAUAUCUGCCAUAAAGUACAGCAAUACACAGGAUCCUAGAAUCUCCUAUGCUGUGCAGCCCAGCUAGGGAGUGUCUAUUUCCUUUCUUUUUUUUUUUCUUUGAUCAUUGCCAGUUAUUUGUAGCUGUAUCAUCUUAAUUCUUUUUAAUACUUUGUCACCGAGUCCAAAAUUUAAAUUUCCUAAUACAGCGUCUCUUCACACUGGAGUCUGCCCACGGCCCAUGUGUCCCCAUUGUGUUCUCAGUGCUAGUCACCAUGAGUGGACAGAAUAAGCCUUACUAUACUCUGUUCUGUUUUUUUUUUUAUCUGUAUCUCACAAAGAAGUCUUAUGAAAUAAUAGUAUACAUAAAGAAUCCAGUAUGCUGGGUCUGAGAAAUACAUCUCAGAUGAUAGCUACAAUUUUACCUUUGGGACCAGGGAAGACAUGAAAGCUGACCAGACAUCCUAGGAUGCUGCAGGCCAAAACAAGUGCUCCAUAGACU
rnacentral:lncRNA from 12 species